UACGGGAGGCAGCAGUGGGGAAUAUUGCACAAUGGGCGCAAGCCUGAUGCAGCCAUGCCGCGUGUAUGAAAAAGGCCUUCGGGUUGUAAAGUACUUUCAGUCGUGAGGAAGGUGUUAAGGUUAAUAACCUUAGCAAUUGACGUUAGCGACAGAAGAAGCACCGGCUAACUCCGUGCCAGCAGCCGCGGUAAUAUGGAGGGUGCGAGCGUUAAUCGGAAUUACUGGGCGUAAAGGGCACGCAGGCGGUUAAUUAAGUUGGAUGUGAAAUCCCCGGGCUUAACCUGGGAAUGGCAUUCAAGACUGGUUAGCUAGAGUCUUGUAGAGGGGGUAGAAUUCCAUGUGUAGCGGUGAAAUGCGUAGAGAUGUGGAGGAAUACCGGUGGCGAAGGCGGCCCCUGGACAAAGACUGACGCUCAUGUGCGAAAGCGUGGGGAGCAAAC
rnacentral:rRNA from 1 species